rnacentral:lncRNA from 1 species
AUGGGUAUGCAUCUUAUCCACAUCUGAUCAAAUUCGAAAAAUAGAAUUUGACCGGAAUUGGGUUCGGAUUUGGAUAAAAUCCGAAAACUGUAAUAUAGAUAUGCGUAGGAUAUCAGUAGUGCUGUUUUCUAUCCAAAUUCGAAUCCGAAUCCGAUCCGAACCUAUGGAUAUGGGUAAUAUCCGAACCCAUAUCUGAAUAUAUAUGUUUAUAAUUUUAUUUUGAUAAUUCUAUUUUAAUUGAUAAUAUGCAU